AUGUGGGUGAUUAUUCAGAGAGAGAGUGAAGAUGAAGAUGAAGGUUAUGCAAAAUCGAAGAUUGAUGAAGCAGAUGGAUAUGCUUUAAGAAUUGUACAACGAGAGAAGAGACUUUCUGGGACUUGCUACAGUAGGGCUACAAGGAGGUUAUCUCACGUUUCUUGUGUGAGCAGGGCUGAAGGAAGUGUGCAAGAAUGGUUUAGAUUGAAACAACGAUUGGUUGUACUCUUGGAAAGAAAAUGGAACAAGUUUUGUAUAAGUUUAAAACUAUUUUUGAAUGGACUUUGA